rnacentral:misc_RNA from 1 species
GAAAUGCGAUAAGUAAUGUGAAUUGCAGAAUUCAGUGAAUCAUCGAAUCUUUGAACGCACAUUGCGCCCGCCAGUAUUCUGGCGGGCAUGCCUGUUCGAGCGUCAUUACAACCCUCAGGCCCCCGGGCCUGGCGUUGGGGAUCGGCGGAAGCCCCCUGCGGGCACAACGCCGUCCCCCAAAUACAGUGGCGGUCCCGCCGCAGCUUCCAUUGCGUAGUAGCUAACACCUCGCAACUGGAGAGCGGCGCGGCCACGCCGUAAAUCACCCAACUUCUGAAUGUUGACCUCGAAUCAGGUAGGAAUACCCGCUGAACUUAAGC